GUGAUGGAAAGUCAUAGAAUACAAGUUAAUCAAGAAGAGUUAAAGAAAACAUCAGAACUUCUGGGGAUCUGUCUUAAAGAACUAGAGCAUGAAGCGCAUCAUGCUGCAGGAGAGAAAUUCAGAUUAACCAGCAGCAAAGAAGUCAGAGAGAUACUUUUUGAUCAUCUGCAUUUACAUCUGCAAUGUAAAAGUAAACUUCCCCGAACAAACCACGGG